AACUAUAACGGUCCUAAGGUAGCGAAAUUCCUUGUCGGGUAAGUUCCGACCCGCAUGAAAGGCGUAAUGAUUUGGGCACUGUCUCAACGAGGGGCCCGGUGAAAUUGAAAUACCUGUGAAGAUGCAGGUUACCCGCGACUGGACAGAAAGACCCCAUGGAGCUUCACUGCAGCUUGAGAUUGAAUCCCGGUGACAGAUGCACAGGAUAGGUGGGAGGCGCCGAAGCAUUGCCCUAGGGCGGUGCGGAGCCGAUGUUGGGAUACCACCCUUCUGUUGCUGAGAUUCUAACGCGAGGAGUAACGACCCUGCGGACCCUCUCAGGCAGGCGGUUUGACUGGGGCGGUCGCCUCCGAAAGAGUAACGGAGGCGCCCAAAGGUUCCCUCAGGCCGGACAGAAACCGGCCGAAGAGUGCAAAGGCAGAAGGGAGCUUGACUGCGAGACCCACAAGUCGAGCAGAGACGAAAGUCGGGCUUAGUGAUCCGGUGGUACUGAGUGGAAAGGCCAUCGCUCAACGGAUAAAAGCUACCCUGGGGAUAACAGGCUAAUCUCUCCCAAGAGUUCAUAUCGACGGGGAGGUUUGGCACCUCGAUGUCGGCUCAUCACAUCCUGGGGCUGGAGUAGGUCCCAAGGGUUGGGCUGUUCGCCCAUUAAAGUGGUACGCGAGCUGGGUUCAAAACGUCGUGAGACAGUUUGGUUCAUAUCCAUCGCGGGCGCAAGAAGUUUGAGAGGAGCUGCUCCUAGUACGAGAGGACCGGAGUGGACGGAUCAACGGUGUCCCAGUUGUCACGCCAGUGGCACGGCUGGAAAGCCGCAUCCGGGAAGGAUAAACGCUGAAAGCAUCUAAGCGCGAAGCCAACCUCAAGAUGAGACUUCUCAUCAGCAAUGAGUAAGACCCCUUACAGACGAUGAGGUAGAUAGGUUAUGAGUGGAAGAGCCGCAAGGCUUGGAGCGACAUAAAACUAAUAGGUCGAGGUCUUAACUUA
rnacentral:rRNA from 1 species